rnacentral:rRNA from 1 species
GGUGCGGUUUUGGAGCUAGUCAUAGGGCUACGGGUUUUAACGGCCCUGCCUGCGGAGGGCGGUGCGGUUCCUGCCCAGCUGUUCUCACCGGCUCGUUUCUGUGGGUGUGGGGGGCGAAUAGUUUUUUUUCAUAAUAAAAAAGAUCGUGAAAGCCCGCUCCUGCUCUCUUUUUCAGUCGGACGUGUUAGCAUGGGACGUGGGCUUAUUUUUUGCUGGCCUCCUCCCAUGGUUCAGGAAUUAAGGCAAAGAAGAGGGGGGACGGUUGGAUUUCUUUGUAAGAGGUCUUAUUUGGUGAAUUACUGACUUCCUACUGCGACAAAAUUUGGCAACGAUGUUGUCAUUAAUCACGAAUUCAUUGAUAGAGGACAACAGACAAGGGAUUACAGACUAAUAGAUACCCUUUUACUCUUCCCAACAAGCAAUGGGGAAUGUUAUCUUUUCCUGUCACUCAAGACCUAGAUCAGCCUCUUAGUCUUUGGGUUCUUCGGGGGGAGUAUGGCGGCAAUAUGGAACAUAAAGGCAGAUAACCCACAGGGGCGCCCCGCCCGGGCUUAGCCCCGCGUGUUGUAUUUUGCUGCACACUUCGAAACUCCACGGGGACAAAACACUAAUACGAUUGACAGAUUUGGUGCUCUUUCUUGAUUCCUGGCUGGUGCUGCAUGGGCGGUCGUAGCUUGGGGGAUUCUUUUUUCCGAGAAUGACUAAUCCGAAACUUACCAUACCGCUAAAAACCUCAUCAUGCUCGGGAUGUCGAUGGCUUUUAAGAAGGACAAUGGAUGUAUGCGUAAUGACUUUCUGAGGGAGACUAUCGCUCUUGAGGCCCAAAAGAAGUUCUGGGGCAAUUACCCGGUAUUAUGGAU